ensembl:rRNA 5S_rRNA 5S ribosomal RNA
GCUUACGGGCCUGACCAACCUGGCUAUGCCCGAUUUCGUCUGAUCUCGGAAGCUAAGCAGGUUUGGCCUCGUUAGUACUUGGAUGGGAGACCGCCUGGGAAUACCAGGUGCUGUAAGCU